rnacentral:lncRNA from 1 species
CACGUUUGUAGGUUUUGCAAUGAUAUGUUCUCUCAUGAGUUUCUUCUCCCACGUGGUUGAUCUAUAGAGGGCUUCACUCUCUCCUAUGCCACUCAUUUUCAAAGUGGGGGAGGAGGUCUGGUGAGCACACAUUAAUAUGCAGCUCAUAGCCACAUCUCUGAAUGCCAGUCUUCCAUUCUUCAUUAAACAAAAAUGGUUGGAUUGCAGGGAUUGUUGUUUCUUUCUCCCACAUACAUAUGCACACACAUUCACAUUCACUUUUCUCAGGCAUACGUACAUGCACACAACCACAUUCACAUGCACCUACACACCUACUCAAGACACCCAAAGCAUAUCAUUGUCAGGACUGAGUUAUGUGUGAAAGUUGUCUGCUGCAUACAUGAAAAAUAAGGGAAUUCCAGCAUACACUGGGGCUUUAAAAAAAAAAAAAUGCAGCAACAAGUGGCAGAAUCAAUGGUGUACAGUUAUUCAGCAAUGUAAUUCAUUUCACUGACUUUGGCUCCUAGCCAGAUCCGCCAUCUGUCUCUAGCUCUACCUCUCCCCCUCUCUCUCCUCUCCCUCUCUUUCGCUUGAAUUUGUCCUACAUUUCGUAGUGUUACAUGCCUGCCAUCCUUAUUCUAUGCCAGAGGUACGACACCAGUCUCACCCCCAUUCCAGCGUGGAGCUCUCUGAGUUCGGUGGCACUUGGGAUAUUCUACUUCAGUGCCAUGGAAAGAAAAGGGUAAGCAAAAGGAUUAAUGCAAAAAAAAAAAAAAAAAAAAAAAAAAAAAAAAAAAAAAAAAAAAAAAAAAAAAGAAAAAAUACAAUGUUCUGGUAUCCAGUUGCUUCUGCUUCAGCCUUUUAUCCAAAUCCUUGAGAUGGAUUUGCCUCAUCCAGGAAGUUUUCCUGCUUCGUUAGAGUAUGUAUCUUCGUUUCUUUAUCAGACGCUGGCACUCAACGCCAGUGUACGGCUCCAUGGAAUGCCUGCUGUUGGACACUUGCAGAGCUCUGCCACCAAGCAACCUCCUGCAUUGGGAAUCGGGGGACUACUCCAGGAUCUUAUGCGUGCUUGCUGUUUGAAGCUGCAGAAAAGUGAAUAAUCAAUUAAGUAUUGAUUUCUUGUAAGAUUUGGUAAAUUUCAAAGGCAAGACAAAGAGGAUGGCUUAAGGAAACACUGCAGGGACUUGGCGUAAAUUAGACAACUAACGGAAGCACAGAAUAAAAUAACACCUCAACUGAAGAUUUCCUUGGAAGAAUUAGCACCAGCUAUUGGAAGACAAUGGUGGAUUUAAUCAAAACAGCAGGCACGCAAGAAUUUUACCCGUGAACCAGAAAAAGGAGCUAAUUAUAACCACCUUUUUAAUGGAGCUAAUUUGACUGAAUGGAUGCAAAUGUGCUUUAUUUAUGGAUGAAGAAGCAAGCCUUACUGCAUGAUCUUGGGAUCAUCGUAUCUGCUAAGCUUUGCAGCUCCUGUUACCUUCAGUACAUUUUUAUUUCCGGAGAAGGUAUUUAUAUGUAAACAACAGCUAACCAUGCAAAAGAUUCAUCGGAACAAUAUAGUAUGGUAUAUGAGAUAUAAUCAUAAUUUGGCAGCCUCUCAGGAUUUCCCCUAACUUGGGGGUUUUGCAACCUUUGCGUACAAUGGGUUAUGGUAAACAAUAAAUGAAUGAUGUUAAACUGUUGUGAUUUUUCAAUGUGUAGUUUAUUAAUUUUAGCUUUCUUAACAUGUUGAUUCUGAAUUAUCUGGCAAUAAAUCCACAAUGAAAGGGAGGAAAUUGUUGGGUGGGGUUAUUUUUAUGCAUUUGCAGUCAUCUUAGAGAUUGGAAUGUGUAGGUCCCACUAGCCCAAGAGUUCUAUAAUUAUAAAAGAAUGGUAAAAAUUUUUCACAAUUUGAAGAAUUGGCUUUAUAAUGGGAACAAUGUGUUAUAAUCAGUAAAAGGAGAAUUGUUAUGUUUUCUCUCUGGGUAGAAUGAUCUUGAAUGGUUAACUCCUCCAUUGCUGAUGAGAAGUAAAUAUCUUAUAACUGGUAAUAAGGAGAGGUUGUAAUGACAAUGCUUUGUUCCUGGGCAUACUCACAUUUCAAGCUGAAGUGCAUUUUAAACAUUUCCUUCUAUUUCUAUUAUUUUCCUUUCUAUUCUCCUUUUCAUCAUUUCUGUCUUGCAAUCUACAUUCCCUGAGCAACCAUAGGAACCAAGUUACAUUAAGCUUCAACACAAAGACCCUGUAAGAAUAAUGAAUCCUCAUUUGCAUCAACAUUUGUAUUCAGAUUUGCCAGGCUAUAAACUUGGCAGAUCAAGCGGAAUAUUAAGUAGAGGCUUCCAUGGUAAAUUGUGGCUCUUGAAAUUGCUAAGUAUUCCUCUUUUUUCCCUCUCUAUCUCUGGUGGCAGGUAAAGUCUCAUGACUACUGGCUUCUUAAGAAGUGUAUUGGUCCCUUCAUCUUUCAGUAUAUUUCAUUUUCAAGUAGAAGAGGGAAACCAGUAGCAGGUAUGGUAGUUGAAGGUGCAAUGUGACAUGUGACUACAGCGUUGACUUAGGGUUAGAGACCAUGAGAGAGGGGAUUUUGACCAAUUCAAGUGGUGGAAAAAUUAAUCAUCAUUUCUGGGUUAAUAUUUAAUUUUUCUGAUAUAUUCAAAAUAGAUUCAUUUCAUAAAAGCUCACAGUCAGUUUUAUAGUUUCUAAAGGUUAUUAAAGAACCAAGGUAGCUUUUUACCCACAAAAUAACUGAGUCAUGCCAUUCUGAGUUAUCCUUUCCUAGUCUUGAAAUAUUUUAAAUAUGUUAUUCUAAUAAAUCAUUAUGGAUGGACUGGAGUUUUAUUUGGUUCUAAAAUGGUAAAAUCAGAA